rnacentral:lncRNA from 1 species
CCCACUCGCCUAGCACUUCAUGUUCUUCAAUCGUUCUUCACGCAGAUGCACGAUCGCACAGGCCACCGCGACAUUUAACGUCCAACUUUUUCCAUCACAUCUAGUUUCUUUAUUCUCACUCAUCUCUCUCUCUCUCUCUCUCUCUCUCUCUCUUCUUUCUCCAUCACCCUUCCCCCUUCUCUCCUCGUCAUUCUCAGACCAUUAAUAGUUGUAGUGUAUGUAUUACAUAUAUUUCAUAUGCCGA